rnacentral:rRNA from 1 species
GAUGAACGCUGGCGGCGUGCCUAAUACAUGCAAGUCGAGCGAACAGACGAGGAGCUUGCUCCUCUGACGUUAGCGGCGGACGGGUGAGUAACACGUGGAUAACCUACCUAUAAGACUGGGAUAACUUCGGGAAACCGGAGCUAAUACCGGAUAAUAUAUUGAACCGCAUGGUUCAAUAGUGAAAGACGGUUUUGCUGUCACUUAUAGAUGGUUCCGCGCCGCAUUAGCUAGUUGGUAAGGUAACGGCUUACCAAGGCAACGAUGCGUAGCCGACCUGAGAGGGUGAUCGGCCACACUGGAACUGAGACACGGUCCAGACUCCUACGGGAGGCAGCAGUAGGGAAUCUUCCGCAAAGGGCGAAAGCUUGACGGAGCAACGCCGCGUGAGUGAUGAAGGUCUUCGGAUCGUAAAACUCUGUUAUUAGGGAAGAACAAAUGUGUAAGUAACUAUGCACGUCUUGACGGUACCUAAUCAGAAAGCCACGGCUAACUACGUG